ACGGAAGGCAGCAGUAGGGAAUCUUCGUCAAUGGGGGCAACCCUGACCGAGCAACGCCGCGUGAGUGAAGAAGGUUUUCGGAUCGUAAAGCUCUGUUGUAAGAGAAGAACGUGUGUGAGAGUGGAAAGUUCACACAGUGACGGUAACUUACCAGAAAGGGACGGCUAACUACGUGCCAGCAGCCGAGGUAAUACGUAGGUCCCGAGCGUUGUCCGGAUUUAUUGGGCGUAAAGCGAACGCAGGCGGUUUAAUUAGUCUGAAGUUAAAGGCAGUGGCUUAACCAUUGUUCGCUUAGGCAACUGUUAUACUUUAGUGCAGAAGGGGCGAGUGGAAUUCCAUGUGUAGCGGUGAAAUGCGUAGAUAUAUGGAGGAACACCGGUGGCGAAAGCGCCUCUCUGGUCUGUAACUGGCGCUGAGGCUCGAAAGCGUGGGGAGCAAACAGGAUUAGAUACCCUGGUA
rnacentral:rRNA from 1 species